GGGCGGGGGGAGGAUAUAUAAUAUCCCUUUGCAAUAUCUACAAGUUAUAAGCGUAGCGGCCGUCGCUCGGUGUGUGUCGUUUAGAGCCGCCUCUUCUUCUUCCUCCCUGCUCCUUCUCUCUCUUCUCCCUCCUCCCCUUCCCCAGGGAACGACUACGAGAUCAUCGCCAUGGCCAUCGGAGCCAAGGUUCGUCGAGAUGGAUGGUGGAAUCCUCCUCGUCGCGGAGUGGCCAUGGCCUCGCCCUAUCCUCCGUCGAGAGCUUCGGCUGCUUCUCCGUCGCCCGUCGCCACCAUCGUCGUUGUUCCCGGCGACAGCGUUGCUCUAGGCGCCGCCUAGGGCGAGGUGGCGGUCGAAAUCGGGAAUGUAGACGGUGAUGUCUUCGUCGGAUCCUUCGUGCUGAGAGCUUCGCACGCCGAUUGAGGGGAAGCGAAGCGGAGCUGCGUCCUCUCGGGUGAUCCGUGGGGGAAAUAAGCUGAAGGUCCCUUUUGGCAAGACCUUGCUUAAUUAAAUAUUGGGCAGAUCAAAAUUGCUUGCAAUCGUUUGGAGGAGUUCUUUGGAUCAUCAAUGGCCAUUUAAUAUUUUGCAAUGGUUGGAAACAGGACAGAGGUAAUCUAUAUCAGUGAUGAUUGUCAAACAGCAUUGAAAUGACGAAAAAAGAAGGCGGCUUGUCAAAAGGUGAGGGAUUUUUUGAUAGAGCUAUCUGCUGGAAAAGAGCUUCAUAAGGGAUAGGAUGUGUCUAUGCUAAGGUAAUCAUUUGGUCCAUGGUAAGUGAAGUGGAAGUACUUGGUCUUAAGCAUGAAGCAUUACGGCAGUUUAUUAUCUAAUUAAUUAUACCAAAGAAGGUAGAGAUUCUGCUCAACAGGUUGACUGGUUGUUGUACAACGUGACAUCCUGAUUCCUGACUAAACUAUUGCUUUCUGUGUAGAGGCAAAACAUCAGUACUAUCAGCACUUUGAGAAUCCCUCUGUUACUUUUGUAUGAUCAAACAUAAUUUCAACCAGGGUCUCUUCAUGCUCAUAGGACCAACAUUUUCUCUGGAAUGCUCUAUACAUCAAACAUUCGACACAUGAGCUGAAAAUAUUACAUCUUUGGUCGACUAUAAUUUUUUCCCCCUCUCUGGGACUGGAUAAAAGAAUUGACAUAUUUAAGCAUGCAUGUGCAACAAGGUCUGUUUAAGAAUAUGGAUACCAAGCAAGAGGAGAAAUACAUAAAACAGUAGCACAAAAGUAGAAACUGUAAAGAAAGGAAAGGAAUCUGGUAGAAGAAAUAUGUUAAGUAGUACAUUUUACGUUCAAUAUGGCUGUGAGAAUUCAGCUCUUCGGCACCUUCUAUUUUGUGCAAAGACUAAGGUAUGUUUUCUUUCAUUCUAAAUUGAUUUCUGUUCCUAUCAUGUAUUCUAUGUUGGGCUUUUAUGUAAAAUAUCAACAACUAGAGAGUAUGUGCUGUCCCAAUUGUUUGAGAGUGAGGAAAGAUCUCAUGAAGGGUUGUAAAAACUAAAAAUGCUGUCACUCGACAUUCUUGGGCAAUAUCGCUUCUGCUGUUAUCGAUAUUUACGCUUACUAAUUUGACUGGUGCUGUUCUUUGGGAAUCAUAUGCUUGUAUACUUAAGUCUUAUAGCCUGUUUGGACUUUAAUCAACUGCAUUAUGCUACUGGACUUCUUUUUCGAAGUCUUUCCAUCAUUUGGAAACUAGAAAUCUAUCGCAAUUGUCAUGUAUGUACUAUGGAUUCAAAUAACAAGCCUAGUAGCCGAUUUUUGGUGUUGCGCACUUCAAAGUAUCUAUGAGAUGAUUGAAAAGAUAUUAAACAGAAUUGGUACAACUGCUUAAAACAAUUCAACACUGUUAUAUCGAGCUUCUUAAAGAGUUUUAUAGCACAACGAAUGUGUUCUGGCCAAAGUAGGUUCUAAAGGCUCAUGCCUCCAAAUUUGGUAUUUCUCAAAUUAAAAGCUUCAAGUUUGAUGAUGGAGAUGGUCAGCUGAAUUUGUCGUUGGACAUGUCAAGCGCUGAGAGCUGUGUCAAAAUGCAGCUUUUUUCCAAUUCUGGUGUUGUGACUCAAAAGCCUUCAUUUAUGAUUUCUUUAACAGAGUUGAUCGCCAGUGCCUUCUCAGGAUGGGUCUGAACCUACAUGGUUUAGGAGGGCCUUCAGGAAUCAAGAAUAGCAUGGUGUUGUUCCUUUCUAUAUAGCUAAAUUUUGGAUGCACGCUGGUUCGAUGUUUCGAGAAUUCGCUGGAAUCGUUGCUUGCCAUUUUCAGUUGGAGGUGAUCUAGAAGACCGCUGUCGUGCUCCUGAAUCAGUCAUGAAAUAGGAAAAACUUCUGGUGACAUAGCUAAAAUAUUAUUGUUCCUGCUUUGUUAAAAGCCAAAUUUGGAUCAUUUGCAAGUUGUUGGAUUAGCUUAGAAUUUUUGUAAGUGAAGUCACAGUUAUAGUCACCUUAAUUUUCGCAGUGUAUAUAGAAUUGUUUUAGUUCAAGAGUAGUAAUGCCAAAUAUUAUCAGCACAUCUAAAGAGAGACCCAGAAUUCCGUGUAGUGGCUUGGCUAGCUCACCUUUGGGCUGUCCAUGCAUUGACUUUCAAUCAGCAAAUCCAUAAAAAAUAUUUGCAUUUUCUCUAAUAAUUUUCUCGUUGAGCUUAAUACAAUUCUCCCAUCGAUAGUAAGCAGCUCGAGUCACCAAUUUUGUUCCCUGAAGACUGAACAACUUAUUAAGGUUAGGCAGCUCUCUUGUGACUUUUGCUCUAUUUUUGGGGUAUGAGAAUACUUAAUGCUCAGGAUAAUUUUGAGGCUUAAUUAGGAUACUUGACCAGUCCCAUCUUACCUCACCUAUUUGGAUUGAUGUUAAUUACCACAGUACUGAGGGUGUAAUAGUUGUGUCAUAUUUUCCGAGCUGUUCUGGAUCUGGGGUGGCCCGACAUGGCACAAAUUUGGAUAUGUGCUGUGCCAUGUUGGGCCAUCUUUUUUCAAAUCAUAGCCUGGCCCGGCCUAGGGCCCGGAUAAGACUGGGCCAAACUGGGCCGCAGGGCCCAGUAAAUUUUAGAUGAUUUUUUGAAAGCUUUGUGAAAAUUUCAAUGGUUUAAAUUAUAUUUGAGGGAGAAAAAUAAAAAACGCUCUAAAAAAAUAUUUGAGGAAAAAAAGGACCGUUCAGACAGGCAUGGUGGCCACUGUUUCGCCCAAGCUAUGCUAUCCAUACAUCUAUUUUUAGGGGUAAAGUUUAUACUCAUAAACCUUUUGUGGUCCUUUUUUUAACUCUCUUUUUUUUUUUUUUCAACUAAAGUUAAAAGCUUGAUCGACUGAUUCUCGAGUGUAAAAUAUACACUCCUAUAAGAAAUGUACGGAUAGCAUUUAUUUUCACGCUUUCUCAUAAUACCAACUGGUUGGUGGAUUUUAGAAAAUAUCAAUUAAACAUGUCCUGUCUUACCAACCGUUUAUAAUGAUGCUCGUUACCAUAGUGCUUUCAUUAUUGUGUGGGGCCAAUGUGAUGCAAUGACAAUUGAGCCAGUGGGGAUUUGGUUGUGAUUUUUAUCAGCUCCAUUGCAUGGUCUGAGCACAAAUUGUCGCUCAUGAAAGGGACUGCAAUAAAGGUAAAUAACACAAUGUCAACUUUAAUCUGCCCAAUGUAGAACUUGUCCCAUCGCUGCCUUGUGUCAAUGGAUCAUCCAAAUCGCCAAUUAACGUUCUAGGAACUUCGACACAAACACAGAAAACAAACAUGUUCCUGAAUAUCUUGAUUGAUGUUCCUAAAGUGUGUGUAUGGACAUGCUACAAACAUGUGCCCGCACAUGCAUCUGUAUGAGAGCAAGCUGUCAGGGACUAUUUUCUGUUUUCAGCCUUUUCUUUUGCAAUCACCCAAACUCUAAAAAUUUUAUUGAUGUUCCUGAAGUGUGUGUAUGGACAUGCUACAAACAUGUGCGCACACAUGCAUCUGUAUGAGAGCAAGCUGUCAGGGACAAUUUUUUUUUCAGCCUUUUCUUUUCCAAUCACCCAAACUCUAAAAAAGAUUGUUGCCAGAGGUUUUGUUAGGGUCUUCUAGAAGCAUCUCUACGGGUAUUGAGAUUGCGAAUGCGGAAGCCGAAGAUUCAAGUAUCUCUUAGGGUUUCUAGAAGAGUUAACAAAUAGUCUCCUGGGGGCUUAUAUCCUCCCGUUUUGGCUUCUAGUUUUGCGCCUCUUGGCGCCUUUCUGUUUGCUUUCUUAAGCGGCAAGUGGCUUGCAUAUAUAUUUAGUCUCCACCUCCUCUUUAGACAACAUAGAUGUAUUCUUUCUACUUUCAAACAACAGAAUGCUAUAUUCCUCAAACUCUCUCUCUUGAACUUGG